rnacentral:lncRNA from 1 species
GUGUUAAACUUGUAUUUACUAAGAAUUCAGCAAGAAAUUGGUAUUUGUACACAAAGAAUUUUGCAACAAGUCCUGACAGCAAGUGGCUUCACUUUUAUCCCACGUACAGCAGUGCUACAAUCUCAUUUAUUGAUGGGGGAGUGGCAACAGGAAAUCAGGUGGCUGCAGUACCAGAUGAGCAGAGAUUCUAAACAGUCACUCCUUACCAUGUAAUUAGUUCUACUGACUGAUGCUGACACUGCUGGCACACUCAAAGUUAGCAGCUGUUCAAACAGCUUGCCAGAAUUCAUCCUGGACCUGUUGAAAUGUGCAUUUAAGCAGGAUUCAAUGCAAAGGUAAUUUUUUCUUUACUAGUGUACAUAUCUACCUUGUUUUGUUUGGAUGUUUUUUCCAAUUGCGUGUUUCUCCACUUAAAAAUUCAUAUGGCAAGUUUGUGAGAACUGUUUCUGAUCGUGUUUCCUAGGUAUGCAUAGAUAUAAAUCUUCAUGCUGCAAAUUAAGAAUGCAACAACCAAGCUCUGAUUAUUCUCCAGAUCUGGUCAAAGAAACCUGCGCCAGCGUGGAACCUCUAGACAGGGAAGCUGAUCUCCCUAAGGAAAAUGCUGAAGAUGCCUUCAGUUCCUCUGACAUGCAGACAGUGGCAGUUUGUAUGGACAGCCCCGUGCCUCCAGGGGACUGCGUCCUCGGAGGAGGUUGCACGGACUCUUCACUGCUGAGGCUCCCUGCAGAGGAGUGCGUUGGGAUCCACCACGCGCCUUUCCACUUCGACCGCCAUGCCCGGGCCAGAAUUGCCACUUCCCCAACGCUAAGGCGUCUGAGGAUGGCCUCAGCCUCACAAGCACUGCCACUUCCACACUGCUCUGACACAGCCCAGCUGGGGAAUCAAAAGGAAUACGCUGGCUCUCUCCACCACAUCUGUAAGAGUCCACCUCGGUGCAUUACGAUCUCUUCAUUGUCGCUGCCCUCUUGUGUCCAUGCAAAAUUCUUGUCAUCCAAAGCCAAGCCUGAGGGAACUAUAGCAGUCCCAGGGUCUGACCCACCCAGGUCAAAGCUUCCAAGCCAAGAGGAUCCUCUCAGCGAUGGCAGUCCCAACGAGCCACCCAGAAACUCCUGGAGAGCCAACUCUGCUACGCUUCCCACGAGACUCCCCCGCCCGAGCCCUACACUUUGGGCAGGUGUCCAGAUCAGCCGAGCGCAGGCGAAGCUCCCUGGUGGUGAGUCUGCCGGGACUCGAGGUGUUCCCUGGAGACCUGCUGGUGCCAGACAGUGCCAUGGACUACCUGCCCUGCUCCUCCUUCCUGCUCAGUGCAGGUCAGACCCAGCGGGGGCUCUGCUCCCCUGAGCCCAGCAGAAGCCGGGCUGGAACAUGGAUGUGGCCUGGGAGGGAGGGAGG